UGCGCAGGCGGUUCGUUUUGUGGGUGGUGAAAUCUCCUGGCUCAACUGGGAGGGGGCCAUCCAAACGGGCGAACUUGAGGCGUGGAGAGGGACGUGGAAUUCCGGGUGGAGCGGUGAAAUGCGUAGAGAUCCGGAGGAACACCGACGGCGAAGGCAGCGUCCUGGCCACGACCUGACGCUCAGGCACGAAAGCUGGGGGAGCAAACAGGAUUAGAUACCCUGGUAGUCCCAGCUGUAAACGAUGUCCACCAGGUGCUGGAGGUAUCGACCCCUUCGGUGCCGAAGCUAACGUGAUGAGUGGACCGCCUGGGGAGUACGGCCGCAAAGGUUAAA
rnacentral:rRNA from 1 species